GGAACCAACCGAGACCAAAAGUAAAGAGAGUAGUUAGCUGAUUAGAUUAGUUUGUUAUUAGUUACUCUUGUAAGUAAUUAGUUAGAGCUGUUGUAACAGCCUGUACAGGUGGCUUUAUCUAUUGUAUAGAGUAGACAGGUGUUAAAUACUCUUCUGUAAUCUUUUCUCAAUUAAUUAAUGAGAAUCAUAAAUUCCUUUAUGGUAUCAUACGCCUAUUCGAUCCUCUCUCCCUUUUCUUCCAACCUGUGAUUUUCUCACCUACCAAACAGUACUUUUCUCAUCAACCAAACAGUUUCUUCCGCUCUAAUUCUCUGAUUUCCAUGGCUUCUGAGACCAAUUCUUCUUCUUCUGCGCCUUCUGCCUCUCUCACAUCGUCUUCAAUCCCUGCUUUUGUGACUGUUACUGUUCAAAACAUCGCAGGCAUGGUUCCGAUCAAGCUUCAAGCUGGCAAUUAUUUGUUGUGGAAGAAUCUUUUUCUUCCUGUUCUUCGCAAAUACAAGCUCCUUGGCCUUCUCACCGGUGCUGAUCUGCGGCCGUCGAAGACAAUUGUUAACGAUGCUGGUUGCAUUGUUGAUAAUCCCGCCUUCGAUCUGUGGUAUGAUAAGGAUCAAUCACUCAUGAUCUGGAUCAUCUCUACUCUCUCGACGGAUUUGCUAUCUCAAACGGUUGGCAUUGAGUAUUCUCGUGAUCUCUGGGAGAUGUUGGAAAAAUGCUUUGCUGGAGUCUCUCGUGCAAAUGUUCAUCAUCUUCGUCAGCGUCUUCAAAAUCUUGUCAAAGGGGAUCUGUCUAUGGUUUCCUAUCUGCAACAGAUGAAGGAAAUUGCUGAUGGCUUGGGCGAUGCUGGUCAUCCUCUAACUGAUGAUGAUUUGGUGGCUUACAUUCUUGCCGGUCUCUCUGAAGAGUACGAUUCCUUCGUCACUUCUAUUGAAACUCGUCGGGAAGAAGUUUCCUCUGAUGAACUUCACGGUUACCUUCUCGGUCGUGAAGCUGCUCUGCUGAAGCGCAAACUCCGAUCCAUUUCCUCUGGACCUACGGAACCGUUUCAUGCUUAUGCCGCCACUCCUCGUUCUUCACAGCACUUUUCUCGCUCACGUGGUUCCAACAACUCUAACUCUCAGCAUCGAGGUUUUCCUCCCACUCGUGGUCUGCUUCCGUCACCGCCCUCCAAUUUUGCCCCAAAUUUUUCUUCUCCUCCACAAUUUGGUGCGCAAGGGUUUCACAGCCCCAAUUUUUCUCGAAAUUCAAGCCCUGGGGGUGGUAAUUCCAAUUCAGGAGGUUCUUCUUCAUUCAAUUCUACUGGUUUUUCUUCUGGCCCUGUUCUUGUGUGUCAGUUCUGCAACAAGAAAGGUCAUGCCGCUAACACUUGUCGCAAAUUGGGCCGUCUGCUUAAUGCUUCUGGCAGUUCUUCAUCUUCUGGACCAUUUACUGGCUAUUAUGCUAAUCCACAGUCUGUUGCUUCCUCUCCUUCUUGGAUUGUUGACUCUGGCGCUACUGCUCAUGUGACUGCUACCAAUCAGCACCUGCAGAAUUCUUCUCCAUUCACUGGCUCUGACUCUUUGCAAGUUGGUAAUGGUAAUUGCUUACCAAUUUCUCACACUGGUUUUACCCGCAUACACACUCCUUCUGCUGUUUUUACUUUAAAGGAUGUGUUACAUGUUCCUUCUAUUAAACACAAUUUGUUAUCGGCAAAUAAGUUUCUUCGUGACAACUCUUGUUCACUAACGCUCUAUCCUGAUUCCUUCACAAUUAAGGACUUAGCUACGAAGAAGAUGCUCUUCCAAGGUCUCAGUGAGGAUGGUGUCUAUCGACUUCCUGCUGGUCCUGCAGCUCCUUUUUCAUCAAGUCCUUCAAUUGCUUUUCUGGCUAAUAAAUGUGAUAUCCUCACUUGGCACAAGAGGUUGGGUCAUCCUCACUUUUCUUUAUUUCGCAAGAUUGUUAGUGGCAAUCAUCUACCUGUUAGUGGUGACUUGUCUGAGUCCUUAAUAUGUUCUGAUUGUAUGGUUGGGAAAGCUCAUAAGCUUCCUUUUGUUGGUUCUGAACAUAAGUCCACCAAGCCUUUAGAGCUUGUGCAUUCGGAUGUCUGGGGUCCCAGUCCCACUGUUUCAGCUCUUGGUUAUAAGUACUAUGUUUUGUUUCUGGAUGAUUACACUAAAUACGGCUGGUUGUAUCCUUUGAAAUAUAAAUCAGAUGUGCUUGCAACUUUUAAAGUGUUUAAGGCCAAGUUAGAAAACUUGUUGAACUCUAGGAUCAAGAUCUUGAGGAGUGAUUCGGGUGGUGAAUACUUAAGCACUGCUUUCCAAGAUUUUUUAAACACAGAGGGUAUUGUGCAUCAGUUGAGUUGUCCACACACCCCUGAACAGAAUGGCAGUGCCGAACGCAAGCACAGGCAUAUUGUUGAGCUUGCUAGGACACUGUUUGCUUCUUCUUUCCUUCCACAUCGCUUUUGGGUAGAUGCUUUUCAAACUGCCUUGUAUCUCAUCAAUCGGUUACCCUUUACUUCUUCUGCACAGUCUCCUUGGGAAUUGUUGUUUAAACACACUCCAAAUUAUACUACUUUGAAAGUGUUUGGUUGUCUCUGUUUUCCUUGGUUACAACCAUAUAGUUCCUCAAAGUUGGAUCCUAAAAGCAGGCCUUGUGUCUUUCUUGGUUAUAGCUUAAAUCAUUCCGGUUAUAGAUGUCUGGAUAUUUCUACUGGCAAGCUUUUUAUUUCCAGGCAUGUUCUUUUUAAUGAAACAUCUUUUCCUUUUGCAACCCAAGCUCCCCCUAUUUCAUCUUCUCCUAUCUCUGCUUCUUCAGUUCCUAUUUCUCUUACUUUUUCUUUCCCGAUUUCUCCUACUUCUCCUUCCUCUUCGCAAUCCCCUGGUUCCAUUUCUCCUUCUUCUGAAUCUGUUCUUUCUUUACCUUCUCAAGAACACCUCCUUCCUUCUCUCCCUUCUCAGGUAUCUGUAGUUCCUUCUUCUCCUAAUCGUCAUCCUAUGGUUACUCGAUCAAAAAAUGGAAUUUUUAAGCCCAAGGCUCUCUCUGCAACUAAGCACCCUAUUCCUACUUCUGUUCAGUCUACUGCUUUAAUUCCUCCUACUCCUCAGACUUAUAAGCAAGCAGCAACCCACAAAGUUUGGAUUGCUGCCAUGGCCUCUGAAAUUGCUGCUCUUCAAAAGACUCAGACAUGGACCCUGGUACCUCCCAAUCCCUCUUAUAAUUUAGUGGGUUGUAAGUGGGUUUUUCGGACCAAGUUUAAUUCUGAUGGGUCUGUUGAUAAGUUCAAAGCUCGUUUAGUUGCUAAAGGGUACAAUCAACAGGAAGGUAUUGAUUUUCAUGAAACUUUUAGCCCCGUGGCAAAACCUGUUACUAUUCGUCUUUUGUUAUCCUUAGCUGUGCAAUAUGAUUGGUUCCUCAAUCAACUUGAUGUCAGUAAUGCUUUUCUGCAUGGGUUCUUGAAGGAAACUGUGUAUAUGAGCCAACCUCCAGGUUUUCAUGAUCCCUCCAAGCCUGAUUUUGUUUGCAAGUUGAAUAGGAGUUUGUAUGGUCUUAAGCAGGCGCCCCGGGCUUGGUAUGAGGAGCUCUUUAAAGCACUUAUUUCUCUGGGUUUUAGAUCAUCACAAGCUGAUUCCUCAUUGUUUAUUAAGGGUGGCUCUUCUUUAAUCCUAGUUUUGGUUUAUGUUGAUGACAUUAUUGUGACUGGGAACAAUAAUGCAGCCUGUCAGGCUCUUAUUCAGCAACUCAGUGAAAAAUUUCCUGUCAAAGACUUGGGCCCUUUGCAUUUUUUCCUUGGGUUAGAGGUUAAACGCACUGCUUCUGGUUUAUUCUUGUCUCACACUAAAUAUGCUUGUGAUCUUCUCCAGCGAACUGAUUUUCUUGGUGCCAAACCAUGUGCCACUCCCUUGGGGUCCUACAAAUUAGACAAUUCUGGAAUGUUGCUUUCUGAUCCUACUUUCUAUCGUUCUACCGUUGGUGCUCUUCAAUACUUGACAUGGACACGGCCUGAUUUGUCCUUUGCUGUAAAUUUGGUAUGUCAGCAUCUUCACCAACCUCGCACUAAUCAUUUGGGUGCUGUAAAGAGAAUCCUUAGAUAUCUUAAAGGUUCUCUUGAUAUGGGAAUCUGUUUUCGCAAAGGCCCCCUUGUUAUGCAGGCCUAUUCUGAUGCAGAUUGGGCAGGAUGCCCCUUGGAUCGUCGGUCUACUAGUGGUUGGUGUGGUUUUGCUCGGUUCAAAUUUAAUUUCUUGGUCUGCCAAGAAGCAACCUACAGUUUCUCGCAGUUCUACUGAAUCUGAGUACAGAGGUAUUGCCAUGAUUGCUGCUGAACUUGUUUACAUUGCUAAGCUGUUUAAGGAUAUUGGUUUUCAGCUUCCUUCCGCUCCGUUACUUUGGUGUGAUAAUCAAUCUGCCCUUCAUUUGGCUUCUAAUCCUGUCUUUAGUGCUCGCACAAAACAUGUUGAGGUUGAUUAUCAUUUCAUCCGGGAGUUGGUUCAGCUUGGUAUUCUUCAUUUACGGUUUGUUGACACUACUAAUCAGCUCGCAGAUAUCUUUACAAAGUCUCUUCCUUCUGCCCGACAUGCUUAUCUUCGUUCCAAGCUUACAGUGUGCAAUCCCCACUUCAGCUUGCGGGGGGCUAAAGAGAGUAGUUAGCUGAUUAGAUUAGUUUGUUAUUAGUUACUCUUGUAAGUAAUUAGUUAGAGCUGUUGUAACAGCCUGUACAGGUGGCUUUAUCUAUUGUAUAGAGUAGACAGGUGUUAAAUACUCUUCUGUAAUCUUUUCUCAAUUAAUUAAUGAGAAUCAUAAAUUCCUUUAAAAAGCACCAGUUGUCGACCAUCGCUGGCUUGGUGGCGGUUCCAUUUUAGGCCAUACCGGGG
rnacentral:lncRNA from 1 species